CCUACGGGUGGCUGCAGUGAGGAAUCUUGGUCAAUGGGCGGAAGCCUGAACCAGCCAAGUAGCGUGCAGGAUGACGGCCCUACGGGUUGUAAACUGCUUUUAUACGGGAAUAACGCGCCUUACGUGUAGGGCUUUGCAUGUACCGUAUGAAUAAGGACCGGCUAAUUCCGUGCCAGCAGCCGCGGUAAUACGGAGGGUGCGGCCGUUUUCCGGAUUUAUUGGGUUUAAGGGGAGCGUAGGCGGUAUGACAAGCGUGCUGUGAAAUGUCCGGGCUCAACCCGGGCCUGGCAGCGCGAACUGGCGUGCUUGAGUCCGCGGAAAGCAGGCGGAAUUCGUCGUGUAGCGGUGAAAUGCUUAGAUAUGACGAAGAACCCUGAUUGCGAAGGCAGGUUGCUGCAGCGGAACUGACGCUGAUGCUCGAAGGCGCGGGUAUCGAACAGGAUUAGAUACCCUAGUAGUC
rnacentral:rRNA from 1 species